rnacentral:rRNA from 1 species
CAGCAGCCGCGGUAAUACGGAGGGGGCUAGCGUUGUUCGGAAUUACUGGGCGUAAAGCGCACGUAGGCGGCUUGGUAAGUUAGAGGUGAAAGCCCAGGGCUCAACCCUGGAAUUGCCUUUAAGACUGCCGAGCUAGUAGGUGAGAGAGGUAAGUGGAAUUCCGAGUGUAGAGGUGAAAUUCGUAGAUAUUCGGAAGAACACCAGUGGCGAAGGCGGCUUACUGGCUCAUUCUAGACGCUGAGGUGCGAAAGCGUGGGGAGCAAACAGGAUUAGAUACCCGCGUAGUCCCUGUCUCUUAUAC